UACGUAGGGUGCGAGCGUUAAUCGGAAUUACUGGGCGUAAAGCGUGCGCAGGCGGUUUUGUAAGCCAGAUGUGAAAUCCCCGGGCUUAACCUGGGAAUGGCAUUUGGGACUGCAAGGCUUGAGUGCGGCAGAGGAGACUGGAAUUCCUGGUGUAGCAGUGAAAUGCGUAGAUAUCAGGAGGAAUACCGGUGGCGAAGGCGGCAUCCUGGACCGAGAUUGACACUGAGGAGCGAAAGCCAGGGGAGCAAACGGG
rnacentral:rRNA from 1 species